GACGGAGGGUGCAAGCGUUGUUCGGAUUGACUGGGCGUAAAGGGCGUGUAGGCGGUUGGUCAAGUCGGGUGUGAAAGCCUGAGGCUCAGCCUCAGAAGUGCAUCCGAAACUAGCCAGCUAGAGCGCGAUAGAGGAGGGUGGAAUUCCUGGUGUAGCGGUGAAAUGCGUAGAUAUCAGGAGGAACACCGGUGGCGAAGGCGGCGCUCUGGACCGAGACUGACGCUGAGGCGCGAAAGCGUGGGGAGCAAACAGG
rnacentral:rRNA from 1 species